UUAAGUCAGCGGGUAGUCUCACCCGAUUUGAGGUCAAGAUUCGUGUGCCGAGCAAGCUCGAACGAUGUCUCUCACGAGACGGUUGGAAGCGGGUUCCCAGUAACAGAGCAAAUCCCAAGACGUAGAAACAUCUUAUCACGCCUGGGGAUUGGCAAAGGGGACCCCACUAAUGCAUUUAAGAGGAGCCGACUUUUUGCAAA
rnacentral:misc_RNA from 1 species